rnacentral:rRNA from 1 species
UUCCAGACUCCUACGGGAGGCAGCAGUGAGGAAUAUUGGUCAAUGGCCGAGGGGCUGAACCAGCCAAGUCGCGUGAGGGAAGACGGCCCUACGGGUUGUAAACCUCUUUUGUCGGGGAGCAAAGCGAGUCACGUGUGACUCAUUGAGAGUACCCGAAGAAAAAGCAUCGGCUAACUCCGUGCCAGCAGCCGCGGUAAUACGGAGGAUGCGAGCGUUAUCCGGAUUUAUUGGGUUUAAAGGGUGCGUAGGUGGUUAAUUAAGUCAGCGGUGAAAGUUUGUGGCUCAACCAUAAAAUUGCCGUUGAAACUGGUUGACUUGAGUAUAUUUGAGGUAGGCGGAAUGCGUGGUGUAGCGGUGAAAUGCAUAGAUAUCACGCAGAACUCCGAUUGCGAAGGCAGCUUACUAAACUAUAACUGACACUGAAGCACGAAAGCGUGGGGAUCAAACAGGAUUAGAUACCCCAGUA